rnacentral:lncRNA from 1 species
UCUUACUCUCUUGUCAAAGUUGGAGUUGCCAAAGAAAGCAAAGUGGUUAGAAUGUGUCAAACUUUGGCAUUUGUAUUAAACAGAGUUUGAGGAAACCAGGCAGGUUUGACUGAGAAUCUCUUCCUUGUCUUCCAUCCAGUGCAAGAUAGGCCACAUUUUUACAGAGAACUGUCAAAAAAGAAAGUUCACAUUAGAGUCACUCAGCUCCACGUGGGUCCUCUGGUGGCAUCUCUCUCAGUGUCAAAUCCUAAUUGUUAGGACUCCAUGAAUCCUGAGUACUUCAAUGAUUUAAGAACUCUUCCGAAGCUGGUAAUUUGGAAAUUGCAUUGUUAGUAAAUAUGAAUUAAUAAAAAAGCAAAGUCAAGAAUUUUACUGGCAAUGAAACUAUGUUUACUGGUCAUCUCUUAAUUCCAUUUGAAUUCCACAGGCCAUAAACAUGUCUUUUCCUGUCUGUUGUUUUUUUCUGUAACUUAAAUGAGCAUCAUUUCUAGCUAACUAAUGUUUUAAUGUUGACACAUUUCAGUAGAUGGUUUUCUAUACUUUUAGAAUGUCAUAAAUGAUUCUCCAAGAAGUAGAAAUGACUAGGAUACAAACCCUGAGACCAGCAGUUGCCAAAGUCACAAGAGGUGAUUUGUAUGGUCCAGACAGUGAUGCAGGAGCAAAGCCUCCGUUUUGACUUUCAGAGAUUUGGGAGCUGAGAAGAAAAGAUAAUUUCAAACCCCUCUUAGCAUGUAUACUUUACUGGAACAUAUACAUGCUCAAAGAUAUGUGUUAAGUUACUUUUUGAUUAAAGAUAUUUGCUACAAGAAUGUUGUCCAAUCCCCAAACACACCAGGAGAUGUUCUGAGCAUUCUGCAAUGGUUCCAGUGGGUUCCCUGGAUGGUUUGUGAGGGAAUUUGCCAUUUACUGUGUAUUUGCCAUGUCCAGGCUCAUGCUUGGGAACAUCCUGUUUGAUUCCCAUGAGGUAGGUAUUACAAUGCCCAGGCACUGUCCCUUACUCUGCUCUGCCAUCUCACUCUGGUAAAGUUGCUCUGUGGAUUGAUCCCUGUAGGGUUUCCCUGCUAGUCCACUAGAUGUGACGGAAUCCUAGCACAGACUCCAGAUUGCACUGACCAAAAUCCUGUGAUCAAAGUGGCAACAUGACACGUUGUUGUGACCCUGGUAUUCAUACAGGAGGGCAAACUGCGCUGGUCACUCUUUACUAGACAUGCUUUUCUCCUCCCCAGGGGUUUGUUUAAGUCUGUUUCUGCUUGGUUUCCACUGAGAAUUAUACUCUGGGCACGAAAAACGGGGAUUCCUUGCCAUUUCACCUUCCUUCCCAUUCCUAGCUGCCCUCCCAGGGAACUGACAGUUUAUUUCAUUGUUAUUUGGCUUAUGGUUAAAAGAACUGUGGUGAGAAAAGAACUGUGGUGCUUACACAGAUGACAGAACAAGCAAGUCCUGGCUACUGCAAAGAUACACCUGAGCCAGUGUUAGUAGAUCUGAGAAAAACACAUAUUCCUUGACUUGAUUCCAAAGCCCCUGUAACCUGGUCAUCCUAUACCAACCCUCUGUUCCAGCCUAAAGGUCUACACAUGACCCUAAGUUCUCUUUUCUCCCCUCCCAGCUGUAGCCUGAUGCCCAUGAAAGAUGGGGCCUGUACCCCAUGUGCUCACUCCUCCUAGCCCAUUCCAGCGAUGUGGCAUCUAUGCUCCAUUCUGAUUCUCUUGGUCAGGGCCUUGACCUUCUCUCUUGGCCUUGCCAAAUCUUUCCUUUAGGGAGCUGGAUGCUCUUCUUCCCCAGAAGACAUUGCCUGGGGACCUGACUACAUCUAAACAAACCUUCUCAUCAUUUCCAGAACAAAGGACUGUUACCUUCCCAGGCAUGCCCUCUCGACUGCUUCAGACUCUGGCUGUACCAGCUCCACUCACCACAUAAUAAAACUCUUGGGGUAUGAAGGAGGAUGCACACCACCCUGUCUUGGCUCCAACUGGCCACUUCCUGGAAACUCUGGGAUUAGGUGGCUGGCCACUUUCUUUGCAGGGCUCCUAAUGUGUCACCAGCCACAGUUGUUGGUGCUUAGGUAACUGAGGGAGCACUGGAAUGACCACGACCUUGAACAUCAGCACCAGAGUACACAUACCGAGGUGUUGGGAGGACCAGGAAUUCUUGUUCUCUUCUGUCACAGGGCUCAGCUGUCAAAGAUUUCCAAACCUCCUCCAUCUUAGCCACAGCAAUAAAGGGUCUACAAGUUCAUUCUCGGCACUGCACUGGGCACCAUGGGAAAUGCAAACCCUUCAGGCAGCUUAGUAUCCCAGCUUGUCUCUGAGCCAUCACCCCCGGAAAACGAACUGUUCCUCUUGCAAGCCCUCAUUAUGCCCUUAUACCCGCAGCAUUACCUGGGAUCCCACAUGCAGAGAAAGCCAGCCCCUUCUGAAUUAAUUAUGUGACUCAGACACUAGAGGAUGAUGAGUUUAUUUCCUUUAUUAUGAUUAAUACUUUUUUUCCCAAAGAGUUUUUCAAUUCUG